AUGGCUGCUGGAAGCCGAGCCAACACUGUGCCACGAGACGCAGACAGCUGUGGUGUGGUGUGCAGUGGAGGUGCAUGAGAAAUGGCCCAUGGUGUGAGCUGGAAGGGCAGGCGUGUGGGCUUCCUCUCUGACCUGGGCAGAGCGGACUGCAGGAAUGGCGCUGCGAGACAUGCAGCAUCCAAAGUGCCGUGCAGUUUCCAGAAUGAAGACCUAGCAACCACAGCGCAACGCACAGCAGUCAGCUCCAGUUCUCCAAGCUUGAAAUUGGGUUGGGUGAAGCCAAAGGGUGAGGCCCUAAUUCAAAAGGGCGAUGGCCUUUUAAGAAGAGGAAGCCAUGUGAGCCAUGCCUGCUCUGUGUGGACACAGCAAGAAGACGUGCUCUGACAUCCAGGAAGAGGCUUUCACUGGAACCCGAACAUGCUGGCACCAUGGAUCUCCAGCCUCCAGAACUACUUCUACUUCAUCUGAGAACAACCAGAAAAGCCAAAUCAAAUCAUCAUCAUCAUCAUCACCCACUUAAAGGCAUUCAGAGAGCUGCUGAAGCAACCAGACUUAGAGGGACCAAGAUUCUGGAACGAUGUUGAGAGCGAGAGAGCACAAACCAAGAAGAGCUUCAUAGUCCAAAAGACUGAAGACAUAGAGAACUCACUUGAGCUCCUCAUCGACAGAGGGAUUUUGAAAAUGCUAAUUCAGCUCUGUAUGAACUGUAAAACCUCAUGGCCCAAUAUCUAAAAAAAAAAAAAAUUUUGUCAUCA